GACUAGCCUUUUGGUUGGGACUGGUCCUAAUCUCCCAGGCCUAAAAUGAUGUGAAUGUGGAGAUAUCCAGUAACAUCCUUGAAACAUUGUGUGCCUAAGUAGAGUAGGACCUCAUGAUGGAAUAUACAGUGACACAGAACAGAAGGAGGGUAACAGAGCCAUUUGGAGGGACAAGAAUGUUAGACAUGUUAAAAAACAAACGAACAAACAUGUGCUGAGAAAUGAGAGAAGGAUUCUUGAGGAAACUAGAAGAGAAAAAGUGCUUCAGAAUGGUACAAGAAAACACAUAAAGAGGAAGAUGAUGAUGAUCAAGAAGAUGGUGGUAGUAGCAUCCGGCACAUAGCAUUUAUAAGAAUAAUGACCAUCCAAGCAUGGAUUAUUAUAGUCGCCAAUGGAAGAGUGAAUCUGAUAGUGAGGUGAAUCAGAAGAAAAGCUAUAACUCACACUGGCAAAUGAUGUAGAUAUCUGGAAGAGGAAAUAGAUGGAAG